rnacentral:lncRNA from 1 species
UAAACACUGGUGAACUGUUUUCCUUACUAAUUCUGAAUUACUAUAAAAUGUACAAGCUUGGCUAGCAGUUCAACACUUAAAUAGAUUAAAUCAUCUCUGACACAUGGUAGAUUUCAUAUAAUGAAAAGACUUAAAGUAAUUAGUGGAGUAUACUGAACUGAUCAAAAUAAAAUGGACUUUGAAAAACAAGGCUGCAAGAUUGUUAUUAACAUUGUAAUAUUUAUGUUCUAUAUUACAGGUACAUUGUUUAUUAUGGUUCUAGUCAUGAGGAACAACUGAAGCCCCUUCCCUUCAAAGGAGGAUUCCUUCUCUAUUUCUAAUGGCAGGAUUCUGUUGCUGUUUGUAUGAAGAAUCAUACAUUCAGGCAUUAGUUCUUGUUUUGGGUCACUGGAUGAUGCAACUCCACACAUUUUCUUCAAGUAUUUAUGAGUAUUGUUCUAUCACACUACUGGGGUAUAGCUCAGUGGUACAGUGCUUGCCCAGCAUGUGCAAGACCUCAGGCUCAAUCUGCAGCACUACAAAAAAUAAAAUAAAAUAAUAAAAAUCAAGUCAUUUCCAUAGUACGUUGAAGAUAUGAUAUACUCGUCUUUGAAGCUGUCAAGAAAGAGGGCUUUUACCUUGUUAAAGGACAAUUAAUGAUAGCACAAUCUGUUGAACACUAUGUAUUUCCAAGUUAGGCAAUAGAUCAUAACUGGUACUCACUGGUGCAAUUGUCCUGUUAGUUAUCAUGUCUAUUAAUAAAAUAUUUUGCAUCUAUUAAUAACAGAAAAAAUAUAAGUAUGACAUGUGUGUUGGCAAGUAGGGCAUAAUCAUCUUUAGUUUUUACCAGGAGACACCCAAUAUAGUCUCUGAACCACCAGAAAGUAAGAAAGCACAAAAAAGUCCCAAUUUUAUUAUUCCUAUUAAUUUGGGGGAGUGAGUUUUAAAACAAAUCCCUACUUAUUUUUGACAGGAUUUGCUUCAGUGACCUUUAACACCAAGGGUUGGAACACUCAGUAAUUUCACCAGCAUUUCAUAAUCUUUUACUAGUCAUCAGUUCAGAAUGGAGUAAAAUUAUUUUAUCCAGAACUUGUUAGGAAAUUAGUUCAGUCCUCAGUCUAUUGCAUUUCAACACCCCCAAAAGAUUCUGUAUAAACUUGAACUAUCUGUGUCCUGGUAGAAACCACAGACAAAAUAAAAUGGGACCCUCCAAUCUUUCCUCUUCAGAAAAUGAAUUAAUUAAAAUCAGAGAGCCCAAUAAUCCUCUCAAAUAUUCUGCCUGGAUCUGAGAGAUCACAUUACUUGUAGUGGUUUACGUACACAAACCCUGACCUGAUCAAAUGGGUCAUGGGAACACUACUGCUGACUGCAAAGUCUUGUUCAGGAAAGAAAAUGUAUGACUUCAAUUUGAGGUGUAUUGUGUGAUCAUUUAAUUGAUUUAUUUUUUAAUGAAGAAAGGGAAGGUGACAAUUCCUGAGGGAGAAUGGCCUUGCCUUGCAUUCAUUGACAUUUCAUUUUGUUUUCUUGCUGUGCUAAAAGAAAAGACCAGCAGGAUCAAGCUAGGCUAAAUCAAUUUCAUUAGAAAAUCAGCAUGGCAAAAUUGAAGUCAGGGUCAUAAGCAUAUGGAUGGACUCUUCAGGAGAUUGUUCACUAGGGGUGGAAGCAGUGAUAAUUAUUGGUAGGCUUUAGUUUGCUAUGUGAGAAUGAGGUUCUGGUUCCUCCUCCUGAUAUAUGUCAUUUAGUACAUUCUAUUAUCCCAGAAUCAGACUGGGAAUAAUCUCUAAAAAAAAUUAGAAUCUGCUAAAUAUUUUAAUGAAUUUCUUUAUGUCUCUGUGUAAAUAUAAUUAUGGGGUAUAUGUUUAGUUUGUAGACACACUGAAAAGUUUUUAAAAUGAUAUUCAUGCCCUUGAGAAGGAGCUAUUUUCAAAUUUUCCUUAGAAAUAUGAUACAGAAAAGUUUUCUCUUUGACAAACCACACCCUUGGUGCACAGGAGUAAAAGAUGGUAUCCAAGAGAAGAAAGAGGUCAUUGAGAAUUUCUAGGAUGGAACUGAAGUCCUGGGAUAACAACUGUCUAAUAAUCCAGACUAGAAUGAGAAGAUAGAUACACCAAGAGGCAUGUCUCCAGGAAGAAAAAAAAUGGAAAUGGUAGAAAUUACCAGUCAGAUUUAAUCAUAUUGUGGGCAUUUUAAAAUGGCAAACUUCUCUGUACACAAGAAAGGUACAGAAAAGGUCUGGUUCUUUGAGAAACCCCAAAUACCAAUUAUCUUUAGGUCUUAUCUCUUGAGCUGUCCUAGACAGAAUCAGUUUUCUGAUGAUAGAGGUGUGUGUAUCAAUCCAGCAGUUAGAGUUUCAGC